AGAGUUUGAUCCUGGCUCAGGACGAACGCUGGCGGCGCGCCUAACACAUGCAAGUCGAACGAGAGAUGAGGAGCUUGCUCUUCAAAUCGAGUGGCGAACGGGUGAGUAACGCGUGAGGAACCUGCCUCAAAGAGGGGGACAACAGUUGGAAACGACUGCUAAUACCGCAUAAGCCCACGGCUCGGCAUCGAGCAGAGGGAAAAGGAGCAAUCCGCUUUGAGAUGGCCUCGCGUCCGAUUAGCUAGUUGGUGAGGUAACGGCCCACCAAGGCGACGAUCGGUAGCCGGACUGAGAGGUUGAACGGCCACAUUGGGACUGAGACACGGCCCAGACUCCUACGGGAGGCAGCAGUGGGGAAUCUUCCGCAAUGGACGAAAGUCUGACGGAGCAACGCCGCGUGAGUGAUGAAGGAUUUCGGUCUGUAAAGCUCUGUUGUUUAUGACGAACGUGCAGUGUGUGAACAAUGCAUUGCAAUGACGGUAGUAAACGAGGAAGCCACGGCUAACUACGUGCCAGCAGCCGCGGUAAUACGUAGGUGGCGAGCGUUGUCCGGAAUUAUUGGGCGUAAAGAGCAUGUAGGCGGCUUAAUAAGUCGAGCGUGAAAAUGCGGGGCUCAACCCCGUAUGGCGCUGGAAACUGUUAGGCUUGAGUGCAGGAGAGGAAAGGGGAAUUCCCAGUGUAGCGGUGAAAUGCGUAGAUAUUGGGAGGAACACCAGUGGCGAAGGCGCCUUUCUGGACUGUGUCUGACGCUGAGAUGCGAAAGCCAGGGUAGCGAACGGGAUUAGAUACCCCGGUAGUCCUGGCCGUAAACGAUGGGUACUAGGUGUAGGAGGUAUCGACCCCUUCUGUGCCGGAGUUAACGCAAUAAGUACCCCGCCUGGGGAGUACGACCGCAAGGUUGAAACUCAAAGGAAUUGACGGGGGCCCGCAC
rnacentral:rRNA from 1 species